AAAACGACUCUCGGCAACGGAUAUCUCGGCUCUCGCAUCGAUGAAGAACGUAGCAAACUGCGAUACUUGGUGUGAAUUGCAGAAUCCCGUGAAUCAUCGAGUCUUUGAACGCAAGUUGCGCCCGAAGCCAUCAGGCCGAGGGCACGUCUGCCUGGGCGUCACGA
rnacentral:rRNA from 2 species